UGAUAAUAUUUUCUUUUUGCAAAAUUAUAUAUGCAUACUUAGUCUCUUGUUAUAUUGUUAGAAAAUUGUCUUUGAGAAAAAAUUAUUUUCAUCAUCGAACGUAUUAUUUAAAUAGCUGUAACUUUGUCUUGAUCGUUUUCUCAUAUAAAUACAAAAUAACGGAGAUAUGUUAUAACUGAAAUGGUAAUAGCUCCCGACCACCCGGUAUAUAUGACUCGUGUCAGAGUUUUUUAUCAAUAUAAAAAUCGACUUUCAUUAUGGCACUAAUGCAUUUAGUAACAAGAAAACGGAAAAAGUGAGAAAGUCUUCAUUUCUGUAAUGAAAUAAGGUAAUAAUAAGCGAAUGAAAUUAAUGUUAAAAUAAAUUGUACAAAUCUUGAUUAUUAUCAGGUUUUACUAAUAUAAGAUAUCGUAGAUAUCGAUAAAUAUCCGUAUAAUUGCUUUACGUGAGUGAUAAGAAUUCAAAAAAGAACUUAUCUGCAGUGACUUUCACAAAUAUUCGGACGCAAAAGUGAUAGCUAAAUUUAUGACUUUAUAUUUUGAUUAUUUCAAAACUUAGCCUUUGUUUUUGUUUUAAUUCGGCUAUUGAAACAAUUGGAAUUUUCCUAAUUUUCUUCUCUAAUUCAUCUCAUAAAUUAUCAAUGGGAUUAAGAUUCAGUGAUUGAUUUGAGAUGAAGAAUUUUGAGUCAUUGAUUUAAUAAAAAAUUUUGCACAAUGAGUGCUUCAUGCUGGAGGUAUUUGUCCUAAUGAACAUUUUUUUUAUGUUCCUCUUUAUUAUUUGUUCCUAUUUAUAGAAAUAUUAACAAAUACUUAUAACGACAAGAAUUAUAGGAUAUCUUUAAGAUAUAUUUGAGUUAUUUGUCGAGUUAUGUAGUGAGCAAAUUUAAUAAAUUCAACGGGUGCUUUCACUAUAGUCUUUUGGCUAUUUCUUUGUAACAGUUUACUGUAGGUAGAUUCGCAUGGGUUUUGAUUCUGAUUUUGUGUGAUUGUGUAAGUCUUAUUAUUUCUUCUUGCCCAAAAUGUGCGUUCAAUAUUUUACGAAUGUUAUUAUUACGGAUAUACCAGAGUGCAUUAAAGAUUGCAAAACGAAUUAUUAAUUGAAGGCUUUCCAUUUUUUAAAUGUGUUACUUGGCAGUCAUUUUUUAAAGUUACRUUAUUAUUAUUGGAUUAUUAUUAUCCCGGCUUUUUGGAAUUACGAAGUAAAUUGUUUUUAAGUAUAUGUAAAGAUUUUAAUACAUUAAGUAACAUCAAGAUUCCGGGUACAUUAAAAAAAAUGCAACCUCUCAAACUUUUAACAAUUUACUGUAGUCUUUGCAUUUUAGAAAUAAUAUUUUUUAUUUAUUUAUCGCCACGCUAUUGAACUUCCUUGCAAAUUUUAAAGGUUGAAUUUGCUUUCGUCAAAAAAUAUUAUAUUUUUCUAUAUGUUAUUAGAUUUCAACAUUGUCUUCCUCAAUUUAUUUGAAUAUAAAUAUACCAUAUGUUUAAAAGAUUAUUCAAAAUGACGUCAUUGCUAUAAUUUCCAUGAUAUUAAGCAUUUUUAAUAUAUGGAAAUAAAUGAACUUACAUUUAUAAUUGUUUUCUAGAGAAAUUUCAUAGCAGUGAUAUUAUCAAAUAUUUAUAAUAUAGUUCAUAUUCUUUUGUUAGAUCGUUCACUGUUAUAUCGAGCUCGUUGGAAAUAGCCAAGGAAAAACAUUAUUUGUUUUGACACCAAAAUGGCAUUCAACAUAGUUUACAAAUUUUUUAUCACUUGAUCCGGAAAUUAUCUAAAUCAAUUCUUGUGAAAAUAUUAAUAAAUAAAUCAAUCAAAAAGAGAUAUAACAACGGAAAAAUUGAUCUCAAAGCCAUGAAAAAUAUUGCAUCGAGUUAGAACCUAAAUAAAAUAUGCAAUAAUCAUCACCAUGUAUCGUUACGCGAAUGUAAUAUUAAUAUAUACAAUGAUCGAAGGAUAGUCAUCUAAUAUUUAAUUAAAUGAGAAAAGAAAGGAAUUGUCAUGUCGAAAUCAUCGGAAAGCAAUAACGACAAAUUUCAACCAAUAAAAUAUUGCGAAAAUGGAAAAAUUGAGGAAGGAAGAAUCGGUGGGGUCAAAGUACGAGAAACAUUGAAUAUAAAUGACAAUGGUAAUAUGAAGCAAAUGAAAUGGCCGACAUUGUGCGAUGCAAAUCCAUAUAUAGUGGAUCUUUGGAAAAAUCUCUUCAAGAAAAAAGAAAAAUCAGAAACCGUAAAAUCCGAAACCGUAAAAUCCGAAACCGUAAAAUCCGAAACCGUAAAAUCCGAAACCGUAAAAUCCGAAACCGCAUCAUCCGAAACCGCAUCAUCGACUAAUUAAACUCAACAUUAUUGAUUUUUCGAUCUUAAAAAUUUGUAAAAAAAAAAAAGAACAUUAAUAACCGAUGAAAUUAA